rnacentral:misc_RNA from 1 species
GAUGAAGAACGUAGCGAAAUGCGAUACGUAAUGUGAAUUGCAGAAUUCAGUGAAUCAUCGAAUCUUUGAACGCACAUUGCGCCCGCCAGUAUUCUGGCGGGCAUGCCUGUUCGAGCGUCAUUUCAACCAUCAAGCCCUGCUUGCGUUGGGGUCCUGCGGCUGCCCGCAGGCCCUGAAAACCAGUGGCGGGCUCGCUAGUCACACCGAGCGCAGUAAUACAUCUCGCUUUGGGCGUGCGGCGGGUUCUUGCCGUUAAACACCCCCUUUUUACCAAGGUUGACCUCGGAUCAGGUAGGAAUACCCGCUGAACUUAAGCAUAUCAAUAAGCGGAGGA